rnacentral:rRNA from 1 species
AGUGAACGCUGGCGGUAGGCCUAACACAUGCAAGUCGAACGGCAGCACAGUAAGAGCUUGCUCUUACGGGUGGCGAGUGGCGGACGGGUGAGGAAUACAUCGGAAUCUACUUUUUCGUGGGGGAUAACGCAGGGAAACUUACGCUAAUAGCGCAUACGACCUACGGGGGAAAGCAGGGGACCUUCGGACCUUGCGCGAGUGAAUGAGCCGAUGUCGGAUUAGCUAGUUGGCGGGGUAAAGGCCCACCAAGGCGACGAUCCGUAGCUGGUCUGAGAGGAUGAUCAGCCACACUGGAACUGAGACACGGUCCAGACUCCUACGGGAGGCAGCAGUGGGGAAUAUUGGACAAUGGGCGCAAGCCUGAUCCAGCCAUGCCGCGUGGGUGAAGAAGGCCUUCGGGUUGUAAAGCCCUUUUGUUGGGAAAGAAAAGCAGCAGGUUGAUACCCCGCUGUUCUGACGGUACCCAAAGAAUAAGCACCGGCUAACUUCGUG